rnacentral:snRNA from 1 species
UUUGUCUUUCUUCUUUCACUCCUU